AGUUUUACAAGCUUUCUGGGAUUCUGUUGUUUGUUUGAUAGAUUUUUUUUUUAAGUCCAGUUUGGGGAUGAUGUUUUCUCUGCUUAUUUCAAACUUCUGAUUAGUUGCCUUAACCUCAAUUUCUUUCUACUUGUAUUGAUGGCUUAAAAUUAUUCACCUUCCCCCACUGUCCCUCUGUCCUGUACAGUGAGUCAGAUCGCAUGCCCUCCCCCAUCCCCGGCUCUAUCUAAGUGGUCCAAUUUUCUGGUUUUUACUGGAAGUCAGAUCAAAACUACUUUUCCCCCCUUGAGAUCUAACUCUAACCCUCUGGGAGAUGUAAGUGUGAUAGAGUCUUAUUAUUAAUUUGUCCCACAGGUAGGCUUUGAUUUAUUUUCCCCUUUCCUUAACAUUUCGUUAUUCUUUCAAACCUAUUCUAUCUAGCAAUUGAUGUCCCCACCUGUGUGCACUACUCCUAGUACUUGAAGUUAAUAGCAAAAUCUAGUUCAUCUUAUUUCACAUGCAACGUCAAUUCCCAAUUCUCAAUAACAGGAAAUUCAACAUCAAACACCCAUGUACAAACUUUAAAUCAGCCUGAAAAUCUACAUGGAUGGCCAUCUUAAGGAAGUUCCUCUCAUUUCCCACUCAUUGAAUAAUUCUUUAAAAUGAUCAAUUUCCCAAGACUCUAGCUGACUUGUUUGGCAUAAACAAUUACCUGCGUGGAUGGAGGAUAGUUUCUCUAAACCAUCAAACCAAUACAUUAUCAAGUACAUCUGGAUGCUGGUCAACAGACUGACUUAGAUACACAAUACAAGGACAACUGGCUUUCCAUUCCAGAGAUGAUGCAGAUUUUUCUGCUUUUGCAAGAUUAAACAGAAAUAUGAACUUCUGCCGCAACCUCAAAGGUUUGCAGACAAGCAGGUGCGGGGACCUCGCUGAUCUUGCUCUAAGUCGAAAGGAGGAGUAGAAAUUGUGCCAUAAACAAUUCUCUAUUGUUUGCAUUUCCACACAACCACUGUCGUUGGAACACAGAAUGCAGAAAGUAAAAGCAUCUCAGAAUUCCUGUAAGGUUUAUAAGCCCCUCUGUUAGGCUUUGUCCUUUUGUGCGGAGUUUCCUUUAUCACAGUCACUAUCAUUUUCUCAAUGUAAUGAUUACCUUUGAAGAAGUUGGUGGUGUGUGUGUGGGAAGAGCUGAACUUUGAAGUCCCAUAGCUUGAGAAAAUGUUAAACUAAUUUCCACAGUGGCUUCAUGUGUUCAAAUCCCCAUCAACUGCGAACCAUCUAGCUUCGUGAGUUUUGCUGUCAACAACUAGAGGGUACACGAAUCUCUCGGUAAUUACAGAGCUAGCCUCCUGAACGACUUCCAUGAUUAAAAAAUUUCAUCAUCAAAGGUACCCUAAGAAGCAAGAAGUUCAGCUAUAUGGUGGAUCAAGACAAUUAUUAAACUCAGGAAAGAAUGAAAU
rnacentral:sRNA from 1 species